rnacentral:tRNA from 1 species
GAGGGUAUAGCUCAGUGAUAGAAUGCGUGCUUAGCUAGCAUGCACGAGGUCCUGGGUUCAAACCCGAGUACCUCCA